AUGGGAAAACUGACAACCAUGCCUGCAAGUCUGAUACAUGCAUCUGUAAAUGUACAUGGAACCAAAGAAGAGGAAUCCAAAAAGCAGCUAGUGAAACCAGAGCAGCUCCCCGUAUAUACUGCACCACCGCUCCAGUCUAAAUAUGUUGAAGAGCAGCCUGGUCAUUUAUAAAUGGGCUUUGCUUCCAUCUACACUGCAACUGGUCAUUAUACUGGCUGGUGCAAGGAUGUUUAUGUCUUUGUGAAAAAUGGGAUAAUGGAUACAGUACAAUUUGGGAAAGAUGCUUAUGUCUAUCUGAAGAAUCCUCCUCGAGAUUUUCUUCCGAAAAUGGGAGUUAUUACGGUUUCAGGAUUGGUGGGCUUGGUUUCAGCGAGAAAAGGUUUUAAGUUUAAGAAAAUUACUUAUCCUCUGGGACUGGCCACUUUAUGAGCAACUGUUUGCUACCCAGUUCAGUCAGUAAUAAUUGCUAAGGUAACAGGGAAAAAGGUAUAUGCUACAAGCCAGCAAAUUUUUGAAGCAGUUAAAUCAUUGUGGACAAAAAGCAGCAAAAAAAGAGUCACUCCCUAAACCUAAAGAAAAAAAAUUAAGCUAGGAUCCCCCGCCGAAAUAGAAGUACCUGCAAAAACAACUCACAUCUUGAAAUGCUCAGUGCCCUUGCCAACAGAACUCAGCUCUGAAGCAAACACCAAAUCAGAAUCCACCUCAGGUGCUACACAGUUUAUGCCUGACCCCAAGUUCAUGGAUCACAGGUGGUCCCACCCAGAACAUAUAGACAAGUAUAGCACU
rnacentral:lncRNA from 1 species